rnacentral:antisense_RNA from 1 species
CUUGAUGGUGGCUGUGCGCAUGGCACCUUCGGGUGCGCCGGGUUUUGGGUGACUUACCGGUCCGCUAACUUGCGCACAGCUGCCACCCUU